CCCUUAGAUGUUCUGGGCCGCACGCGCGCUACACUGACUGCUCCAACAAGUUACCUGGGCUGACAAGCAUCCGGGAAAUCUUGCAAAGGCAGUCGUGAUGGGGAUAGAUUCUUGUAAUUUUUGAUCUUCAACGAGGAAUUCCUAGUAAACGCAAGUCAUCAGCUUGCAUUGAUUACGUCCCUGCCCUUUGUACACACCGCCUGUCGCAUCUACCGAUUGAAUGGAGAGGCAAAAUCUUCGGACCGUGACGCUUGGGAGUCAAAUCUCGGGCUGUCGUGGGAAGUGGAUUAAACCUUUCUAUUUAGAGGAAGGUAAAGUCGUAACA
rnacentral:rRNA from 1 species